rnacentral:lncRNA from 12 species
GGGAACAUAGGAUGGCAUGUGGCAAGGUCACAGGACCACAGGAUCACGAGGUUGGAAGAGACCUUCAGGAUCAUUGAGUCCAGCUCAGGGUGGUUGUGAGCAGGGUCUGCAGAGGCGGCCAAGACUCUGUGUGCCUUGAGAAACAAGAGGAAUCUG